GGAGAAGUCUACUCAUAUAGGCUAUGCUAGAGUCUGUGUGAAGAUCGAUAUUACCAAGAAAAUUUGUCCAAAAAGUAAAUUCGAAGUUGAGGUAGGAUGGAUAUGGCAAGAAUUUAUUUGUGAAGAAAUUUUGAAGCUUAGCUACCACUGUGGUUUGCUUGGGAGGACUUUAGAAUCUUGUGAUUGUUGGACCAAAGGUGAUAUUCCUUCCAAAAAAUCUCUAUUUGGUCCUUGGAUUAGAGUAGCUAGAGUCUUAAUUGCCCCUC
rnacentral:lncRNA from 1 species